rnacentral:lncRNA from 1 species
AGCAUUUUCCAACGACAAUACAGGUGACUCAGGGAGCUGACAGCAUGUGGGAGUUUGAGUUGGAACAGGUAUAGCAGAGCGACUUGAACCAACUUGAUCUUGUAGAGAUGUUACUGGAGCAGUAUUUGUGGGUUCACGUGGAACAUUUAUAAUACUGUGAAUGGGAGAAUCAAAUGUUGGAAGUGUUUGGACAGGUGAUGGUGUUACUAUUGAUUGAUAAGGAAAUGAAUUUUCCACAAACUUAACA